AAUCAAAUUUGAUUUUUUGGUGAUUAAUUCAUCUUGGUUGUGAGUGUUGGAUAUGAUGAAUGGAUAUUCUCUAAUAGACUAAAAUUUGUCAAAAUAUUUUCAAUUGUGAGAUUGCCUAAUUUAGGGGGAGUUUGAAAUUUUUUUAAAAAAAAGGAGAAAAAGAAACUCCUAUGUUUAAAAGAUGUGGAAAGAGUUACAUCCAAAAGGAGUGUGAAAACUACCACCACAUGUAGGAAAGAGCUACCACCCCGGUCAUCCGGCAAGUGUGUGAAGCUACCACAUGGUAUUUAAUUGAAAAAGCCGAAAAAGGUUGGAAAAAUAUAAAUAUUUUAGAAUUUUCGGAGUAAUAAGGUGCUAGUUUGAAAAAGAUGCUCAAAGAGCCACCCCCGGUGCCAUAUUAGUUAAAUCUCUAUUUUGAAUAUAUUGCAACAAAUUGGUGUCAAUUUUGUUGAAUUUCUAAAAAUUAUUUUUCAUCAACUUACAUCUUGAUGUUUUUGAAUCAUUAAAUUAUUUUUGAUUUUGAAAUUUUGAUGUUUUGAUGUGUUUUGAAAUUUUAUAAUAUCCUAUUUUAAUUACAAUGAUUUUUGGAGUAAAAGUCUUAACUAUAUGAAUUUAAUUUAAAUAUGAUGGAUUUUUAAAGUAUAUUUUUCGAAAAAAUUUUUUCACAUUUUGGUCCUUGUACCGGAACAAGAACCCGUGUACCGGUACAAGGUCUGCGGCCGAGCGGAAUAUAACCGGGUAUAACGCUUCGAUCUUUUUCAAAACUCAAUCAUUUUCCAAAAUUUUUGGUUCUGUGAG
rnacentral:lncRNA from 1 species